CGUCAAGUGGAACGGACGGGUGCGCGCACAGGGGACUGACCUCGCGCUCGUGAGAGGCGGCUGCCAGCGCAGGCGCACUAGCUUCCUAACUGCUCUCCCCCCCCCCCUUACACAACAGGCCCUCGCUCCCCCUGGACCCUCCCCGCCUCCCUCUCCCCGCGCGUGCGCGCUAAGAGCAGAGCCUGAGUGAGUGCAACCGUGGAGCUAACUGCGCAGGCGUGCCCCAUCUCACCGCAGGGCAUGAUGGAGCGCUGGUGCCCACUAUAUAAGGGACGGCAGGUGGCCUCUCUGGUUGCAGAGGUGUCUGUUGCUGGUGGGCUCUCCUCUCCAGUCCCACCCCACCCGGUCCCUUGUAGAGCAGCACUCCGGGUUUUCUGCGGCAUUUCAGUGGUGGCUCCUUCGGUGCUGCCGAAGGCCCAGAGCAAGUGAAGGACCCGCCGCCGACAUGCCACUGAAGACCUGGAGCGCCGCUGGACUCUCCACCCAAGAUGACUGCUUGUAAAUGCCUAAGAAACAAAGACUGAACUGUGGGG